rnacentral:rRNA from 1 species
GCUUACGGCCACACCGGCCUGAGUACGCCUGAUCUCGUCCGAUCUCUCGGAAGCUAAGCAGGGUCGGGCCUGGUUAGUACUUGGAUGGGAGACCGCCUGGGAAUACCAGGUGCUGUAAGCU